GUACUAUCAGUGAUAACAUAUUAGAUACGACGGGUAUCAUCUCAGCCUCUGCUGGUAUAAAUGAACAGUUUAGGUUCAAUUCAGACAGUGAUGCUUCUGUUUCGAUUCAAAGUUCUAUCACCAACGCCUUUGAAACUGUUGAAAAAGCAAACUGUUCAAACAUGUCUGCCAUUGAGAAAAUGACUAAUUUGGUUGGAGUUAAACAUGAUUCUAAAAAACCAUGUAAC
rnacentral:misc_RNA from 1 species